GUGGUAAUCAAAUGUCAGUAAAUAAUUCAUUUCCAUGGUCAAAUGUUUUCUACAGAAAAUAUUUUCCACAGGCAAUCAUCUGCAAUUGCCGAUUGUCCAGAUUUCAACCAGACAUCUUAGAUUUUAAUAUAUUACCAUUCAGUGGAAUUGUCUUCUAGUCUGGCGAGGGUUAGAUAGUGAUGGGUUCAGUCUUCAUUGUGUCAAUAGCUGAUCACAAUUUUAUGCAAGAUGUUAUUUCUUUAGUGAGCUCAACCAUUGAUAAGUAAAUGUACAAUGAGCUAAAGGGAAAAUCUUCUAGGGAUGUUUUAAUAUGGAACUUUUCAUUAUUUACACCAGAAAUGGAUGGGACCACAUAUCAUUUGUUCCCUUGUAUGAAUUUUUCAUAUAUAUCAUUUGCUACCUGGACAUACCAGUUUGUCAGGUUUUGUAUUGAAUUUCCAUUUUUUAUAUGUUGUGUUUCCAAAGUUUCAAAAGUAAAAUAAAUGUUAGCACUACCAUGAUUUGUCUUUUAUGUCAAUUGUUGAAUGCAUGUUUACUAAUCAUCCCUGUGAAC
rnacentral:misc_RNA from 1 species